rnacentral:rRNA from 1 species
AAUUUUCGGCAAUGGGGGCAACCCUGACCGAGCGACGCCGCGUGAGUGACGAAGGUCUUCGGUUUGUAAAGCUCUGUUGUAUGGGAAGAACCGUACAAGUCGGGAAUGCCUGGUAACUGACGGUACCCUACCAGCAAGCCACGGCUAACUACGUGCCAGCAGCCGCGGUAAUACGUAGGUGGCAAGCGUUAUCCUGAAUUAUUGGGCGUAAAGGAGGCUCAGGCGGCUUAUUAAGUCUGAGGUUAAAGUUCGGGGCUCAACCCCGUGAUGCCUGAGAAACUGGUAGGCUAGAGUGCAGGAGAGGUAAGUGGAAUUCCAUGUGUAUCGGUAAAAUGCGUAGAUAUAUGGAGGAACACAAGUGGCGAAGGCAGCUCACUGGCCUGUAACUGACGCUGAGGCUCGAAAGCGUGGGGAGCAAAUA